rnacentral:rRNA from 1 species
GGACCUCAGAUCAGGCAAGAUUACCCGCUGAGUUUAAGCAUAUCACUAAGCGGAGGAAAAGAAACUAACUAGGAUUUCCCUAGUAGCG